CACCACUCAAGCCUCGCUUGGUAUUGGGCGACGCGGUCCGCCGCGCGCCUUAAAUCGACCGGCUGGGUCGAUCGCACCCUCAGCGUUGUGGAAACUAUUCGCUAAAGGUACUGCGGUCGGUCACGCCGUGAAAACAAACCAAUUUUUCAAU
rnacentral:misc_RNA from 1 species